UCCUUGGUGGUCUGGCAGUUAAGACUCUGCACUUCCACUGCAGGGGGCGCGGGUUCAAUCCCUAUUUGGGGAA
rnacentral:tRNA from 1 species